rnacentral:rRNA from 1 species
CUACGGGCGGCAGCAGUGGGGAAUAUUGGACAAUGGGCGAAAGCCUGAUCCAGCCAUGCCGCGUGUGUGAAGAAGGCCUUCGGGUUGUAAAGCACUUUCAGUGGGGAAGAAAGCCUUGGGGCUAAUACCCUCGAGGAAGGACAUCACCCACAGAAGAAGCACCGGCUAACUCCGUGCCAGCAGCCGCGGUAAUACGGAGGGUGCGAGCGUUAAUCGGAAUUACUGGGCGUAAAGCGCGCGUAGGCGGUCUGAUAAGCCGGUUGUGAAAGCCCCGGGCUCAACCUGGGAACGGCAUCCGGAACUGUCAGGCUAGAGUGCAGGAGAGGAAGGUAGAAUUCCCGGUGUAGCGGUGAAAUGCGUAGAGAUCGGGAGGAAUACCAGUGGCGAAGGCGGCCUUCUGGACUGACACUGACGCUGAGGUGCGAAAGCGUGGGUAGCAAACAGGAUUAGAUACCCCCGUAGG